GCAAACCAACAAACCCCCCAAAAAACCCCAAAAACCAUUAUGCUCUGGUGCUCCUCAUGCAAGACUGGCUUACCUGGAAACCAAAUGAACAAAAUUUCAUUUGUUCUAUAGGAAGACUGAUGACUCAGUCCUGGGGACACAUAUUUUACAUAUGUAUGCAAAAUUCAAGAAACGAUGAUGUGCUGUUACCUUUUGCAAAGGGACAACUUGAGUGAAAACAGAGCCGUGUUGCUGAGCUGCCUGAUUGCAAUGGCAUUUGUUCCCCAGGACAAUGCUAAUGAACUCUGCAUCCCUCACAGAGGUUUGCCUGGCACAUAUGGGCCGGAAUAGUCACAUGAUAUGAGGAGACACACAUUGGUUCCUAAUAU